rnacentral:rRNA from 1 species
AGAUUGAACGCUGGCGGCAGGCCUGACACAUGCAAGUCGAGCGGUAGAGAGGUGCUUGCACCUCUUGAGAGCGGCGGACGGGUGAGUAAUGCCUAGGAAUCUGCCUAGUGGUGGGGGAUAACGUUCGGAAACGGACGCUAAUACCGCAUACGUCCUACGGGAGAAAGCGGGGGACCUUCGGGCCUCGCGCCAUUAGAUGAGCCUAGGUCGAUUAGCUAGUUGGUGAGGUAAUGGCUCACCAAGGCGACGAUCCGUAACUGGUCUGAGAGGAUGAUCAGUCACACUGGAACUGAGACACGGUCCAG